GGAAGGAUCAUUAACACGUAUCCACGUUUUAUCAACCCAACGCGCACUUGUUUUCACCGCUCCCUUUGACCUGGAAUGAACUGAGGAUGGAUUGUAAGCCGUUGUCGUGGCAACUCUCGAGUUGUAGCUUACCCGCUCACUGAGACAGAAAGGUUUUUUUUAUGUUUUCUUUCUAUCCGCAAGGGUGGAGAGGGCAUCGAGAGAAAUCGAGUACCGUCUCGACAGUUGUAUUCAGGUUUGAUAAGGACAUACCGCCCGGCUUGCUUUUGUCUCCGACAAGACAGUGGCUUGCUGAGCAACCCCCCCUAUAACGAAUUUCACCCAUCUCACCUUUUUGCUAGUUGACUUUUUAUCUGUGUUCGUUCGGAGCAGAGAGAGGCCUUAAACAAGUCUUUUUUUCUCCUUCUGUGCGUCACACGUUUAAACAUCUAUUUGAACGUUAAAAAAUACAACUCUUAGCAAUGGAUAUCUUGGUUCUCGCAACGAUGAAGAACGCAGCGAAAUGCGAUACGUAAUGCGAAUUGCAGAAUUCAGUGAAUCAUCAAAUCUUUGAACGCAAAUUGCGCUCUUGGGUAGCCCUAGGAGCACGCCUCUCUCAGUAUCGGUUCAACCUUCUCUCAGCAGCGUGCAGUAUGAAAAACUACUGUGCGUGUUGGCUGGAUAAUGAGAGUCUGAUUUGCAACGUUCCGCAUGAUUUCAUCAUGUGGAACAGGCGAGUCAGUCUCUUGAAAUACAUGGAGUAAAACAUAUGACUAACGAGUCCUACUCGGCUUUCGGGCCGGGUAGCCCUGUUUGGCUGUACUGCUGACUUUUGGGAAUUUGCUCGGAUAGUGACGUGAAUAUUGGCCCUUACCGGUCUACUCUUUUACGUGUAACUGUCUGUGGUGAGUUUUUCUUUGGGUUGGCACUUUAAAAGUAUGGUUAGAUUUUUUUGGGGUUAAUGGCUCACCUUGAAUAGUUUAGUGGAAUGUUUCUAACGUAAAGAAAACCAUAUGGCGGUGCUUGCACUUCCUGAAUGUUUGAUCUGAGAUGAAGCGAGACAACCCCCUGAAUUUAAGCAUAUUAAUAAGGGGAGGAAAAGAAACUAACAAGGAUUCCCCCAGUAACGGCGAGUGAAGCGGGAAGAGCUCAAUUUGAAAAUCGAUAACCUAAACGGGUCAUCGAGUUGUAGCCUAGAGACGUACUAUCAGCUGAAACCUGGGUAUAAGUUCUUUGGAAUGAGGCAUCAUAGAGGGUGAGAAUCCCGUAUAUGACCCAAAGCUUUCAGCGUACGAUGUAUGUUCAUCGAGUCGAGUUGUUUGGGAUUGGCAGCUCUAAAUGGGUGGUAAGUUUCAUCUAAAGCUAAAUAAUGGCGAGAGACCGAUAGCGAACAAGUACCGUGAGGGAAAGAUGAAAAGAACUUUGAAAAGAGAGUUAAAAGUACUUGAAAUUGCUAAGAGGGAAGCGCUAGAAACCAGUGAUACGCUCGGUCAAUCGCUUUUUUGCCUCGCUAGCUGGCGUACGUACUGGGCAACCUUGCGUGCGCCAUCGAAACGGUGGUGGGGAGUUUAUGAUCGAGUGUCAGUCAAGAUCAAUUCGGUCGGAGUGAGAAGGUGGUGAGAAAGGUAGGAGGGCAACCUCUGUUAUAUUCUUGUCACUCUACCUCGGGCUGGAUUGAGGAAGGAAUGGUGCGCCGCUUGCGGCUUGGUCCCGCGUCUCUGUUGUCCCAUCUGCUCUGAUAGCAAUGCUAUCUCUGUGGAGAAAGGCAGCACUGGGCGCGGUGAUUCUAUGUGCCAUCACGAUCUUGUACGAAAUGGUUUCUAUCGACCCGUCUUGAAACACGGACCAAGGAGUCUAACAUCUAUGCGAGUAUUUGGGUGCCAAACCCUGAUGCGUAAUGAAAGUAAAGGCAGGCUCGUUCUGCUGAGGUAGGAAUCCCGCAAGGGAGGCACUAUCGACCGAUCAUCACUUGUGAAAGAUUUGAGUAAGAGCAUAUCUGUUGGGACCCGAAAGAUGGUGAUCUAUGCCUGAACAGGGUGAAGCCAGGGGAAACUCUGGUGGAGGCUCGUAGCGAUACUGACGUGCAAAUCGUUCGUCUGAUUUGGGUAUAGGGGCGAAAGACUAAUCGAACCAUCUAGUAGCUGGUUCCCUC
rnacentral:misc_RNA from 1 species